AUACACGCAAUGAACGGGAGCAGUAGACGGCUAAGGUGAACAGAGAGCUGCGGGUGGUGCGACGCAGUCACCGGAGGCCGGCGAAUCUCGCCCGUGAGCGGAACGGCGGAAAGAGCUUCAAGUACGCCGUUACGGAGGUCCCCGUUACCGGACUGUUCGUAUCCCCCGGGCUACCCUUACGGGAGCAGGGAGAUAUGAAGCGGAGCUGGACGCAGCUUGGGCUGCCUGAAUGGAAUGAGGUUCAGGAGCCUAUGCGUCAAAAAGAGUGGUACCGCGGAGGGGUGACCCGCCGUCUCUUUA
rnacentral:ncRNA from 1 species